rnacentral:lncRNA from 10 species
GGAAAGAGGAGUCUCUCGAAAUUCAGCAACUGCUAACAGCGAGGAGGGGUUUUGAAAGGUAAAGGCCAUUAGCUUGGAGGCAGAAGACAGACCUCCCUGACUGCUGAAUUCCUGCCGGCCUGAAAUUGGAGCAUUCCAAGCUCCUCAGAUGAGUCAUAAGCCACCAAGAUUGUGAGCCUCUGGGUGCUAGCCAGGAUCACUCCCUCCGAAGUCACACCAGAGGGAGGGCUGGAGGGAGAAUCAAAUGAAAGAGAGAGGGAGAGAAAGGAAGGAAGAGAAGGAGGGAGAAUGGAAGGAUGUAUGGAUUUGGAUGUAUGGGUUCCAUUCCUUCUACCCUGGCAAAAGCUUACUCAUCCUUCAGUGUCCAUCCAAAAUGGCAUCUCUUCUUGGGCACCAUCUCCAGAGUCUCCUGCAAGCAGGUAGCUACAUCCCACAAAACAACCACCCAUCUGACCAUGCAAGUGUGUGGGGGAAUGAAGACCAGCCCAGGAAUCUGAGAUGAAUGUUUUGCUUCUUGCUCUGCCACUGACUCACAGGGUACCCCAAGCAAGUCCCUUCACCUCCUCGGUCUCAGUUUCUCCAUUUAUACUACUAAGGCAGUGGACAUGAUGGCCUCAAGUCUCAACAUUUUUAUUCCCUGAAAAGAAACUCUUGGUGCUGAGUGGUCUUCUUCUGCCCUGACAUCUCACCUUUCAAACGCUUGUCUCUUCUCACCCCACCCACCACUUAGCAUGUGCUCUUGGAGAACACCCAGGACUCAGGGUCUCUGCACACAUCAUGAGUCCAGCUCAGCAUUUGAGGUGGAAUCAGAGGAAAGGAAGGAGAGUGGGGAGAAUAGUCAGUAUUUUGGCAAGCUCAUCAUACCUUCCCCCUUUGUAUAGAAACUUCAAACCAUUUCCCUUUGAAGGCACUACCUCCUUCCCCCAGUUAUAAAUGAGUGAAGGUCUCAAGCCUGGACAACCAAAUGCACAGUGAUUGGUUCAACUCUGGACCUGUGACUCAAGCCAGACCAAGGGAGUGACAUGCAGGGCUUUGCCUGGAACUAUUCUGAAAGGGGCACUCUCUUUCUGCUGGG